rnacentral:lncRNA from 1 species
CUGAAAGCUGCAGGCGAGACUCUACCUAGGAAAACGUCAGGCGACUUCGAGUAGGGUACAGCGCAGGACGAAGUGUGUGUCCAACGUGGACUAAAAUGUGGGAAGAGAUUCCUUUAUUAAAAAGCAGUCUACCUUCCUGGAAACAAUCCAUCACACUCCCUACGGAAGAGGAUCACACGCCCUGCGACUUCUCAACCUCUACGUGCUGAGAGACAGUCCAGGUUAAGGAACCUCUCAGGACUGCAGUCUGAAUGAGCAGAACCGAUGGCAAACGUUUCCAGAAACAAAGUCAGCUGCUGAAAUGACUACUGCACUAAUUGACUGAAUUCUUACCUUAUCCUAAGUUAGAAUACCAGAGAAUAACAAAGAAAUCCAUGAAGGUGAUCACUUGUUCCAGGCUCACAUUUGGAAAGAAGAGGUUCUGUGCAAGUCACAAACUGCAUCAUGAACUCUUUUCGGUUUGCUAUCCAAGUGUUUUCCAGAGACCGGCAGAAAAUGAGAGAUGGCCAGCAUUCCAGUUAUUCCAUAGCCUUCGAGACAAUAUCCAUGCUCAUACCUUCUCUUCUAAACAUCAAACGGGAUUAUACUGGACAGAGGGCUCUGCAACUGGCUUUUUGUUUACUUAAUAAUUGACCUUCAACCACUCUCCAGGUCAACACACAUGCGUCAACUGUGCCUUAAAAAAAUAAAAAGAUUUGU